rnacentral:rRNA from 1 species
ACGAACGCUGGCGGCGUGCUUAACACAUGCAAGUCGCACGGAAAGGCCCUGCUUUUGUGGGGUGCUCGAGUGGCGAACGGGUGAGUAACACGUGAGUAACCUGCCCUUGACUUUGGGAUAACUUCAGGAAGCUGGGGCUAAUACCGGAUAGGAGCUCCUGCUGCAUGGUGGGGGUUGGAAAGUUUCGGCGGUUGGGGAUGGACUCGCGGCUUAUCAGCUUGUUGGUGGGGUAGUGGCUUACCAAGGCUUUGACGGGUAGCCGGCCUGAGAGGUUGACCGGCCACAUUGGGACUGAGAUACGGCCCAGACUCCUACGGGAGGCAGCAGUGGGGAAUAUUGCACAAUGGGCGGAAGCCUGAUGCAGCAACGCCGCGUGCGGGAUGACGGCCUUCGGGUUGUAAACCGCUUUCGCCUGUGACGAAGCGUGAGUGACGGUAAUGGGUAAAGAAGCACCGGCUAACUACGUG